UACGGGAGGCAGCAGUGAGGAAUAUUGGUCAAUGGGUGCAAGCCUGAACCAGCCAUCCCGCGUGAAGGACGACUGCCCUAUGGGUUGUAAACUUCUUUUGUAUAGGGAUAAACCUACCCUCGUGAGGGUAGCUGAAGGUACUAUACGAAUAAGCACCGGCUAACUCCGUGCCAGCAGCCGCGGUAAUACGGAGGGUGCAAGCGUUAUCCGGAUUUAUUGGGUUUAAAGGGUCCGUAGGCGGACUUAUAAGUCAGUGGUGAAAGCCUGUCGCUUAACGAUAGAACUGCCAUUGAUACUGUAAGUCUUGAGUAUAUUUUGAGGUAGCUGGAAUAAGUAGUGUAGCGGUGAAAUGCAUAGAUAUUACUUAGAACACCAAUUGCGAAAGGCAGGUUACCAAGAUAUAAACUGACGCUGAGGGCGAAAGCGUGGGGAGCGAACAGGAUUAGAUACC
rnacentral:rRNA from 1 species